rnacentral:rRNA from 1 species
AAUGAACGCUGGCGGCAUGCCUAACACAUGCAAGUCGAACGAAGGCUUCGGCCUUAGUGGCGCACGGGUGCGUAACGCGUGGGAAUCUGCCCUCAGGUUCGGAAUAACAGCGAGAAAUUGCUGCUAAUACCGGAUGAUAUCGCGAGAUCAAAGAUUUAUCGCCUGAGGAUGAGCCCGCGUAGGAUUAGCAAGCUGGUGUGGUAAAGGCGCACCAAGGCGACGAUCCUUAGCUGGUCUGAGAGGAUGAUCAGCCACACUGGGACUGAGACACGGCCCAGACUCCUACGGGAGGCAGCAGUGGGGAAUAUUGGACAAUGGGCGAAAGCCUGAUCCAGCAAUGCCGCGUGAGUGAUGAAGGCCUUAGGGUUGUAAAGCUCUUUUACCCGGGAUGAUAAUGACAGUACCGGGAGAAUAAGCUCCGGUUAACUCCGUGCCAGCAGCCGCCGUAA